CCCUCUUCAUAUCCAAGUAGUUGGACAUUCAUCUGGUGCAAGAAAAAGGCGUGGUGACGCCUGGAACAAAAGGCUGCAGGACUUCUUCGACAGGCUGCUGCUCCAACUUCAGGAAGACUUUUGAAGAUCUUCCUAAUCAGAUUUAGAUCUGAUUUUUGGAACAUAGAUUCGCGAGGAGAAGACAUUCCAGAUCCUACCUA
rnacentral:lncRNA from 1 species